AAUGAACGCUGGCGGCAGGCCUAAAACAUGCAAGUCGAACGCCGUAGCAAUACGGAGUGGCGCACGGGUGAGUAACACGUGGGAAUAUGCCUUUUGGUACGGAACAACUUUUGGAAACGAAAGCUAAUACCGUAUGGUCCCUUCGGGGUAAAGAUUUAUCGCGCAAAAGAUUAGCCCGCGCUGGAUUAGCUAGUUGGUGAGGUAAUGGCUCACCAAGGCGACGAUCCAUAGCUGGUCUUAGAGGACGAUCAGCCACACUGGCACUGAGACACGGCCCAGACUCCUACGGGAGGCAGCAGUUAGGAAUAUUGGACAAUGGGCGCAAGCCUGAUCCAGCCAUGCCGCGUGAGUGAUGAAGGCCUUCGGGUUGUAAAGCUCUUUAGCCGAUGAAUAUAAUGACUGUAGUCGGAAAAUAAGCCCCGGCUAACUUCGUGCCAGCCGCCGCAGUAAAAC
rnacentral:rRNA from 1 species